UACGUAGGGGGCAAGCGUUGCCCGGAAUCAUUGGGCGUAAAGAGCGCGUAGGCGGCCCGGUAAGUCCGCUGUAAAAGUCCAGGGCUCAACCCUGGAAAGCCGGUGGAUACUGUCGGGCUCGAGUCCGGAAGAGGCGAGUGGAAUUCCUGGUGUAGCGGUGGAAUGCGCAGAUAUCAGGAGGAACACCAAUAGCGAAGGCAGCUCGCUGGGACGUUACUGACACUGAGGCGCGAAAGCGUGGGGAGCGAACAGG
rnacentral:rRNA from 1 species